rnacentral:rRNA from 1 species
AGUGAACGCUGGCGGUAGGCCUAACACAUGCAAGUCGAACGGCAGCACAGGAGAGCUUGCUCUCUGGGUGGCGAGUGGCGGACGGGUGAGGAAUACAUCGGAAUCUACUCUGUCGUGGGGGAUAACGUAGGGAAACUUACGCUAAUACCGCAUACGACCUACGGGUGAAAGCAGGGGAUCUUCGGACCUUGCGCGAUUGAAUGAGCCGAUGUCGGAUUAGCUAGUUGGCGGGGUAAAGGCCCACCGAGGCGACGAUCCGUAGCUGGUCUGAGAGGAUGAUCAGCCACACUGGAACUGGGACACGGUCCAGACUCCUACGGGAGGCAGCAGUGGGGAAUAUUGGACAAUGGGCGCAAGCCUGAUCCAGCCAUACCGCGUGGGUGAAGAAGGCCUUCGGGUUGUAAAGCCCUUUUGUUGGGAAAGAAAUCCAGCUGGCUAAUACCCGGUUGGGAUGACGGUACCCAAAGAAUAAGCACCGGCUAACUUCGUGCCAGCCGCCGCGGUAA